ensembl:snRNA U6 U6 spliceosomal RNA
GUGCUUGGUCAGCACAUACACUAAAAUUGGAACAAUACAGAGAAGAGAUUAGCAUGGCUUCUGCACAAGGAUGACACGCAAAUUUGUGAAGUAUUCCAUAUUUUU